rnacentral:rRNA from 1 species
CCUACGGGGGGCUGCAGUGGGGAAUAUUGGACAAUGGGGGGAACCCUGAUCCAGCCAUGCCGCGUGUGUGAAGAAGGCCCUCGGGUUGUAAAGCACUUUCAGUGAGGAAGAACGCCUGGUGGUUAAUACCCAUCAGGAAAGACAUCACUCACAGAAGAAGCACCGGCUAACUCCGUGCCAGCAGCCGCGGUAAUACGGAGGGUGCGAGCGUUAAUCGGAAUUACUGGGCGUAAAGCGCGCGUAGGUGGCUUGAUAAGCCGGUUGUGAAAGCCCCGGGCUCAACCUGGGAACGGCAUCCGGAACUGUCAAGCUAGAGUGCAGGAGAGGAAGGUAGAAUUCCCGGUGUAGCGGUGAAAUGCGUAGAGAUCGGGAGGAAUACCAGUGGCGAAGGCGGCCUUCUGGACUGACAUUGACACUGAGGUGCGAAAGCGUGGGUAGCAAACAGGAUUAGAUACCCUAGUAGUC